UCUUGUGUAAUCAUUUGAUAAGUGCAGUUGGUUUUGGUUUUGGCAAGGAACAGUUUUGAAAAUGGUGCCCUUGACUUUUUUCCCAAUUGUUGGUGGAUUUUACGCCUGUUUACACAUUUUUGGAGUUCUAACCGGCAUUUGGCAGCUCGUUGCCGAUUUAGUUGAAGAACCCACCACGCUAGAUGUAGUGUUUACAGUUGAAAGUAUCGUGUCAUUCAUUGCUCACGUGUUUUUGCUCGUUGGUAUUUUGAAGGAAAACGUCAGAUAUGUCAAAGCAUUCAAAGUUUAUUUCCUGGUGUUUGUCGCUCAACUCUCGGUGCUGAUCAUUAUCGCUGUUUUACUCAUUCCCAACCAGCAGGACUAUUUUUGGCUUGAGAUAGCUUUGUUUAAUAUGGUGAUCUUUGGUCUCCCUAUCGUCUUUUUGAUCAAUUGGAUUUUAAAUGGUAUUGUACGAUACGUGGAGCACGAGAACGCAUCGCGGAUCGAUUUAGAAUCCAGCUGUGAAAAGCAAAUUUUGCUUUAAUUGUGUUAUUUUAAUUUUUUUAAUUUUACUGCUAUUUGGGUCUCGUGGCGCAGGGGUAGCGGCUUCGGCUGCCGAUCCCGAUGAUGCUAUGAGACGCGGGUUCGAUUCCCGCCUUAUCCACAGAGCUUCUAUCGGAUGGUGAAGUAAAACGUCGGUCCCGGUUUCUCCUGUCUCGUCAGAGGCGCUGGAGCAGAAAUCCCACGUUAGAGGAAGGCCAUGCCCCGGGGGGCGUAGUGCCAAUAGUUUCGUUUUUGCUAUUUGCUACAGGUGUGAAAUUAAAUCUGAAUAUAAUAACGGGAAUUACGAAUGCAAAUUUUGCAUUGCAAAACUGUUCCUCAACUUUAUCAGUGGAAAUAAUUUCUAAGAAGCUCUCUGCAAUCCUCGAAAACAUCAUAGUACAUUACAGAUCUAUGUAAUAACUUUUUGAGAAAAUCAACUUAUGAAUAACACAUUUUUACUUAAAAAUUGUUAAUUAAAUCAUGAAUAGAAAACUAC